rnacentral:lncRNA from 1 species
AAAAGACAAUGUCAAAGAGAGAAAGACACGGUUGAUUCCUCUCCAUCAAAGGAAUCUUGAAAGUCAAAGGUUAAGGAUAGAGAAGAUCAAUUGGUGGAAUUGCAUCCAAGCAUAGAUCAAGGUUAGUGUUUCUCUCUUCUUCUUUUAGAAAACUUUUAGGGUUGAAUUAAGAUAAAUCUAGUUUGGUCUUGGGUAGAUUUCAUAAUUGGAGCAUAAAAGUUAAUCUUACAUUAUAUGCUAUCGGGAAUGAGAGAAACAAAAGGUUACAUACUUCUGUGGCUAGGCACACUUAUUUAAUUACCAAGGAGAUUUAAAUCAUUCUGAAGGCCAAGCUGUAUGGAAUGGAUCAGGAUGUAAGAAACACCAACAGGCAACAGGAUCACAUCAACUCAAACAACCACCGGAGACACGUACCUGCAUUCAUGGUUUCAAAACUUUGCGACAUAAAUUCCCAAGUUCAAGCCAAAUUCUGAAAUUGUUGUUGCACAUGUGUUUUAUUUUCUGCUUUUUACCUUGCCUGUGCCAGCCUAUUUCUUUCUGUAUUUUCUGAAACAAUGUCUCUCUCGGGAAUAAAGAUAAAAAGGAAGUUAGUAAAAAAAGAAAAAAUCAUUUCUCGUAUCGACAAGAGACAACAUCAUUGACUGACUUUGUAUACAUAUAUAAGUUUACAUCGAUUAUAAAAUUAACUUUCCAUUUUAAAAAGUAUUAUAAUUUAUUUUAUGAUUUAUAAACGC